rnacentral:rRNA from 1 species
CCAGAGAACUUAGCAGAGAUGCUUUGGUGCCUUCGGGAACUCUGAGACAGGUGCUGCAUGGCUGUCGUCAGCUCGUGUUGUGAAAUGUUGGGUUAAGUCCCGCAACGAGCGCAACCCUUAUCCUUUGUUGCCAGCGGCUCGGCCGGGGAAACUCAAAGGAGACUGCCGGUGAUAAACCGGAGGAAGGUGGGGAUGACGUCAAGUCAUCAUGGCCCUUACGGCCAGGGCUACACACGUGCUACAAUGGCGCAUACAAAGAGAAGCGACCUCGCGAGAGCAAGCGGACCUCAUAAAGUGCGUCGUAGUCCGGAUUGGAGUCUGCAACUCGACUCCAUGAAGUCGGAAUCGCUAGUAAUCGUAGAUCAGAAUGCUACGGUGAAUACGUUCCCGGGCCUUGUACACGCCGCCCGUCACACCAUGGGAGUGGGUUGCAAAAGAAGUAGGUAGCUUAACCUUCGGGAGGGCGCUUACCACUUUGUGAUUCAUGACUGGGGUGAAGUCGUAACAAGGUAGGCGUAGCGAG